rnacentral:rRNA from 1 species
GAUGAACGCUGGCGGCGUGCCUAAUACAUGCAAGUCGAGCGAGUGGCGGACGGGUGAGUAAUGUAUGGGAAACUGCCCGAUGGCGGGGGAUAAUUACUGGAACCGGUAGCUAAUACCGCAUACCAUCAGAUGUGCCCAUAUGGGAUUAGCUUGUUGGUGGGGUAACGGCUCACCACGGCGACGAUCACUAGCUGGUCUGAGAGGAUGACCAGCCACACUGGGACUGAGACACGGUCCAGACUCCUACGGGAGGCAGCAGUGGGGAAUAUUGCACAAUGGGCGCAAGCCGGAUGCAGCCAUGCCGCGUGUAUGAAGAAGGCCUUCGGGUUGUAAAGUACUUUCAGCGGGGAGGCGUUACCCGCAGAAGAAGCACCGGCUAACUCCGUGCCAGCAGCCGCGGUAAUUC